rnacentral:lncRNA from 1 species
UUUUUUUUUUUUUUUGAGAUAGAGCCUCGCUCUAUCACCCAGGCUGGAGUGCAGUGGUGCAAUCUCAGUUCACUGCAAGCUCUGCCUCCUGGGUUCACGCCAUUUUCCCGCCUCAGCCUCCCCAGUAGCUGGGACUAUAGGCACCCGCCACCAUGCCCGGCUAAUUUUGUUUGUUUGUUUGUAUUUUUAGUAGAGACGGGGUUUCACCGUGUUAGCCAGGAUGGUCUCGAUCUCCUGACCUCGUGAUCCGCCUGCCUCAGCCUCUCAAAGUGCUGGGAUUACAGGCAUGAGUCACCGCACCUGGCUGCCAAGCUGGUCUUGAACUCCUGACCUUGUGAUCCACCUGCUCCGGCCUCCCAAAGUGCUGGGAUUCCAGGUGUGAGCCACCAUGCUGGGCCCAGUUUAUCUUCUAAGUGGCCUCUGGCAGCCAGGCAGGGAGGGGAAGGCCGGGCAGGGAGGGGAAGGCCGGGCAGGAGGAGGGCAGGAACGAGGAGCCGCUGGCCAAGGGACACCCUGACCUCGGCAGGGGUGCAGGCAACAAAGAGGGUGAGGAGCUGGGGCAUAUCCUGGGUGGGUUUAGGAGCUUGUGGGGCCUUGUGGGGAUCUGGGAAGGCUGGGGAUGGAAUGGCACAGGUGCGGACCAGGGUCUGAUGUGGACAGGAGGGGCGCCUGGGGCUGGGCCAGUCACUCUGCAAGGGAUGCGGGGUCUGCGGGGCCAAGGAGCAGCGGCUGGAUGGGGUCACUGCCAGGCAGGCAGGCAGGAAGGACUGGGCGCAGGAGAUGCGGAUCGCUGGCUGGGGCCACACCAGGAAAGGACGGACCUCCCCACCUCGGCACAGAGCACAAUCUUCAGGCUGCCCUGAGCCCAAAAGCUCCACACGCCAUCUUCCUGGCUCAACCCUGGGUCCUCAAAGCUGGGGAGCAAAGGUCAACGGCCAAGCCUGCGCCCUUGCGGGGAGCUAGCGCCGCUGGUCAGUCCCCCAUCCCAGACCCCUGAGCAGGACAGGGCGUGUUUUCCUAGAGGAAGAGGCUGGGGCUGGCAGGUGGCUGCCUGUAACUGUGGGGUGCUGGCUGCAGGCAAGCCCUAGGAUUGCAACUACUCAGCUCUCACACGGUGGGGCCGCCACCGGCUCCGCCAGCCAUCCUGAGCUUCACAAGCCACGGGGGAAAGCUGGGCAAGGCUGGCACCUGCACACACAGGUGGGCACGCACGCACACACCUGCACAUGCAGACACGCCACACACACACACACACACACACACCCCUCCCACGCCAGCUGGCACACAGGGCUUCAGGAGCAACAUCAGCUCCUGUACCAAGUGGGGAGGGGCGGAGGGUCCUGAGCAGAGGGCUGGGAGGGCAGUGUCCAUAUUCCCUGCCCCACCAGCUGGCCCAGGGCUGUUGACGAGGCAGCCUGGCCCGGGCCGCUCCCAAGCCUCCUCCCAGGGCGACUGACCUCCCUGGGGAGGGGCUGGAGGCUGCUCAGGCCCCCCAGAGAGCCCCCCCACGACUCCCUAGACC